rnacentral:lncRNA from 1 species
AUGGGGAACAACGGCUGCUCUUUCGAUGGAAUAAUGCUUAGGAAAGAAUGUUGGACUGAUAAGAGUACGCUAUGUAGUUACAUCCUGGUUCAUGAAGUGUUGCUUGGAUUUAUUUCUAGUAGUGGAAAGACAUGCCAUUUAUUGCUCGAUGGAUAGUUAUAUUCUUUCAAGCUGUCGAUUGGUGAUUGAUGUGGGCACUGGCAUGUUUAAAUAGAGGCCAAAGGCCAGUUGAACCCCACCUUUCAUCUUUCUUCCCUUUGCAGAAACUUCUUCUCUCCUCUGUCGUCAUGGCACCAACUUUGCCAAUGAUCUAGGCC